rnacentral:lncRNA from 1 species
CAAAUGUUAAAAUGGUAUGAAGAGUAUGGUCUCAUGGUGAUAAAAGAAAAAAUAUGUUUGUAUACACAGAGGAAAGACUAGAAGGUUCUGUACCUGUUAAUGGUGACUGAUCCUAGAAGAGCGAAAUUUAGGCCUUCCAUCCCUGAGGAGAGAGUGAAUGGCAGCAAGGAGUAGGGUGAUUUGGUCUUCCCUUCAACCUGUUGCUACCCAACACAAGGACAAUUGGUCUUCCACCCUCUUCACAGUUCAUUCAGUCAUUGUCCCUGUCUCCCAGGAUGUGAGGCUCUGGAAAUACACUGAGGAAGAAAGUGCAAUCUUUGAAGAUGCAAUGGAAAAUUUUCCACAAAGAGUACUGUUAAAAUAAUGCCUUCAUUAUGAGAGAUUUGGGAAUUUUGUUUUGUUUUGUUUUGUUUUGAGACGUAGUCUUGCUCUGUCACCCAGGCUGGAGUGCAACGGCAUGAUCUCAGGAUUUGGGAAUUCUGAUGUCAAAGUCCAGUUAAUUUCUUGAAAGGCAAAACUGUGUUGUCUACUUUACCAACAUUAGUAAACCUGGUGUAUUCAAAUACCGAGUCCUGAAAGCCAAAUGGAUUCUGGUCCUUUUAAGGUGUUUCUGACAAGGCAGUAUGUCCAAGAGCACCUAGUUCAGAGUAAAUACCUAUUUACUCCUCUUUUUCCUUCAAUAGCUUCUUGACUCAUCUAAAUAUGAUCUGUGGUUUUCUUCAGAAAUUACCAUUUCCCACCAUCAAAAACUGAAAACUUCUGAGAGCAAAUUUAAUCUACUUUUGAGGAAUAUCAGAAGGAUUC